rnacentral:rRNA from 1 species
UACAGAGGGGGCAAGCGUUGUUCGGAAUUACUGGGCGUAAAGGGCGCGUAGGCGGCCUUCUAAGUCAUGCGUGAAAUCCCCGGGCUCAACCCGGGAACUGCGUCUGAUACUGGAAGGCUCGAAUCCGGGAGAGGGAUGUGGAAUUCCAGGUGUAGCGGUGAAAUGCGUAGAUAUCAGGAAGAACACCCGUGGCUAAGGCGGCUCUCUAGUACGGUACUGACGCUGAGACGCGAAAGCGUGGGGAGCGAACAGG